GACGAACGCUGGCGGCGUGCUUAACACAUGCAAGUCGAACGGAAAGGCCCUGCUUUUGUGGGGUGCUCGAGUGGCGAACGGGUGAGUAACACGUGAGUAACCUGCCCUUGACUUUGGGAUAACUUCAGGAAACUGGGGCUAAUACCGGAUAGGAGCUCCUGCUGCAUGGUGGGGGUUGGACAGUUUCGGCGGUUGGGGAUGGACUCGCGGCUUAUCAGCUUGUUGGUGGGGUAGUGUCUUACCAAGGCUUUGACGGGUAGCCGGCCUGAAAGGGUGACCGGCCACAUUGGGACUGAGAUACGGCCCAGACUCCUACGGGAGGCAGCAGUGGAGAAUAGUGCACAAUGGGCGGAAGCCUGAUGCAGCAACGCAGCGUGCGGGAUGACGGCCGUCGGGUUGUAAACCGCUUGCGCCUGUGACGAAGCGUGAGUGACGGUAAUGGGUAAAGAAGCACCGGCUAACUACGUG
rnacentral:rRNA from 1 species